GAAAAGAAAAUACUUCCGCUCAGAUGGGCGGAGCUAGGGAGCCGAGGUGGAAGUGGCUGUAAUCAGGUUUGUCAUUACAAACAACGUCGGUAUGAACCUUCUUAGAAUGCACGGAUUCAGUUACCAGAAUAUGCUUGCUAAAUAUUAUACCAACUUCAGGGACAAAGAGAGUGAUCACAGA